UGGGGAAUCUUGCGCAAUGGGCGAAAGCCUGACGCAGCAACGCCGCGUGAGCGAAGAAGGCCUUCGGGUUGUAAAGCUCUGUCAGGGGGAAAGAAGGCACCUGGGUUAAUAGCCCAAGGGCUGACGGUACCCCCAAAGGAAGCCACGGCUAACUACGUGCCAGCAGCCGCGGUAAUACGUAGGUGGCAAACGUUGUCCGGAAUCAUUGGGCGUAAAGAGCGCGUAGGUGGCUUGUCAGGUCCAAUGUGAAAACCUGGGGCUCAACUCCAGGCGUGCAUUGGAAACCGGCUUGCUAGAGUCUGGGAGAGGAGAGUGGAAUUCCUGGUGUAGCGGUGAAAUGCGUAGAUAUCAGGAGGAACACCGGUAGCGAAGGCGGCUCUCUGGAACAGUACUGACACUGAGGCGUGAAAGCUAGGGGAGCGAACAG
rnacentral:rRNA from 1 species